GCGAUAAACUAAACACCUUCAGCCAUUACCACGUGUUCUGAGGCACGCACAGCAGCAUCCAGUGACAGGCCAAACCCCAGCCCAACGCAUUCUCUGUCACCUUGAGCCUCUGCAGUGCUGCCUGCUCAGUAGAGACUGAGCCUGGCCACUUCAGUGCAUGCUGGCAGGUGUGUGGAAGGAUACAGCACCUCAGGUCGUCAAAUGAGCACAGGCCAUGCUGAUUUUCCUAUAUCCUGGCAGUUGAACGUUUGAUCUCUCAGUUGCUAUAGUUUUACUCUGCGGUUGCUGAGUACUUCCAUUCAUUCAACGUUCAAAUCCUUCUUCCCCAGAGCUGUGGCAUCCUACCCACAGUCGAAUCUUUUCUCAUGACACAGAAGCAGCAGGCUCCACCUGAAUGUCGUUUGGGAAGAGCACCCUUGUCUGGGCUACCUGUUUCUACCUGUUCAUUGUGUCCCUUCUUUGUUUGAACCCUGCCCGCUGCAAGGUCAAAACACGAUUGUUCUUUUAAAAAUCCUAUCCAAUUUCCACCUUUCUCUUGCUAAGACUGGGUCUCUUGUAGUCCAGGCUGGCCUUGAACUCGCCCUAUAGUGAGUUGAAUUUUUUUUUUUUUCCUGGCCCUUCUGCCUUUGCCUCCCAAGAGCUGAGAUUAAAGGCAAGUGCCAUCAGGCCCCAAGCAUGCAAAACCAGCUCUCAGCCAGCUGAGACACAGGCAGGCCCUUGUACACUUUUAAGGUCAGAGUUGCUUUAGAUUUGCAGAAAAGCUGUGUGCACAGCACUCAGUUUCACUGAAUGUUUAUACCCUCCAUCCCCAGGAUAGGAGCCACACUGAUCACUGUCACCCAUGCUGGGCUUGCUCACUCCAUAGCCCUCUUCAUAGGCUCUCUUUCUGCUAACACCACCCUGGAAGCUAAAUUGUUCUGGUAUUCUCUGCCCUUCUGGCUGUCAUGGUGACCUCCUUGUCUCUUUCAAAUGUCCUAUGACUCUGGAAGGUGAGACAGCUGUGUGGGCUGGAUUGAAGAAUCCCUUUGACUUUGAGGGGCUGCUUCCCUCCAGGUAGCCUAACACACCUGUGUGACACCUUGACAGCUCAUGGGGCCACCUUAGACCAUCCAGGUGGUAAGCUGCUGUGGCCAGAGGAGGGAUCCAGUGGCACUUGGUGGGUAUCAUGGUGCUGCCAUGGUGUGCAUGACAGGUACACACACACCCCUGAUCUGCUGAGAUGCAAGUCAUGAAUCCACUCUCUCCCCUGUAAGCGCCUGGUCCUACCAGUGGCCAUGAUGACAGUUUAUGGGCCUAGGUAAUUUUCCUACUCAGUUUCUUGUGCAUCUCACUUUCUAGACAGGAGAGGAAUUAAUUAACUCUGUGGAUCUGUGGUGUCUCAUGUGGUCAAAGUUGGGCUCUAGGACACUUUGGUUUGGCUGCAGCUCUCCUUUGGGUGUAAAUUUACUGUGCCACAGGACCUAAAGCCUGCACCCUCUGAACCAGAUGCUUGGGCAGGGGAUGAGCAGUAGCUGUCUUUGGAGCAUUUGGUCCAAGCUUCACUUGUAGCAAGUGGGAAACUGUCACGCUACAGGAGGUUAGGCUGUGAGGACUAGAGUCCUUGCCACCUCUUGUGGCUUAGUGGUCCUUACAGAGUCGUGCUUCGCUGAAGGAAAUCAGUGUAACAGAAUUGAGCUUUCAUCGGAGAAGACCUCAGACCUCAGGCAGGCAGGUUUGGUGGCUGCCCUGGUCUGCCUGGCUGCAGCCAUCAGACUGUGUUGUACCCCCUGCCUUCUGCCUUGCUGGGGACCUUGCAAGUAGCCUGGUUUUGAGAUUGUUCCUUGUCUGCAGUGAGGCUGGGGCUCUGGAUUUGGGGACACAGGGAAUACUGAUACUCUUUACUCUGUUCUGAGUUUACCUCACUUCCUGUGACCCUGGCAUCUCCAUGUUAGGAUGUUUGCAUUGAUGUUGGAGCUCUGGGCUUGGGGACACAGGGACCACUGGAAGCCCCCAGUCUGUCUGGAUUCCCCUCACCUCCCACAGCCUUGGCAUCUCUACUUUUGAAUGUUUGGGUCUUUACCCAGUGGUCCAUGCAUCAAAACCUUGGCUUCAGCUUUAGCUCAGAGUGUCCUCAUUUUAGGAGAUUCUCAGUCCUGUCACCUUGUGAUGGGUGACAGGUGGGGGCUCUGUGAGUACCACUCUGGUAAUGCAUUCCCAUGGGAACAGCUCCUCUGAUUAGAAAUUACACACACACAUUUAUGUAUACAAUUUCAUGUGUGUGAAUGUUUUGUUUGCCUGUAUAUUUAUGCACUACACAUGUGUGCCUAGUGUCCUCAGAGGUCAGAAGAAGGUUUCAGAUCCUCUGUAAUUGGAGUUUCAGACUGCUGUGAGCCUCUGUGAGCUCUGGGAAUUGAUGGCCUCUGAGAGAAUAUGUGCUCUU
rnacentral:lncRNA from 1 species